rnacentral:RNase_P_RNA from 1 species
GCAGUAAACUGUUUUAUCGCUCCUGUUAUAUAACAGGAGAGGAAAGUCCGGACAACACAGGGCACCAUACUUUCGAAAGAAAGAUGUUCGUGAGAGCAUAGAAGCGGAGAAGAAAAUAACUGCCUGUUGAAGUGUAGGAGGAUGGGUAAACCCGCCUUCGAUAAAGCUUCGGUUGGUAAAGGUGAGAAGGUGGGGUAAGAGCCCACCAGUUCUGAUGGUGACAUUAGAAGCUGUCCGCCUUAUGGGUUGUAAGAUCACGUAUAUCAGCAGUUAAGGGCUGCCCGUCCGAUGCUGAGGGGUAGAUCGCACAGAUAAAUGAUAAAAACCCUGUUAGCGAUAUCGGGGUACAGAAUCCGGCUUACAGGUUUACUGCUUUU